AUCACCGGAUCCCUCUCCUUCUUCCUUUUCUUUUCCUUCUUCCGUCUCUUUUCUUUUUCCUUUCCCCUUCUUCGUUCUUCCUUCUUCUACCCAAGCGGCAGAGAGAAUGAGAGAGAGAUCGAGAGUUUGAGAGAGUGAUGCUAUCGGAGAGGGAGUGCGAACAGGAGAAGAAGAGAAACCCAGAGACCCGUAGCAGACCCGAGCCGAGACUCGUGAACCCGUGAGGCCGGUAGAACCCGAUCGGUGUGCUGGGUCGUUGGAGGUCCGAUCUUCUAGCGAUUUCCGGUGGUUCCAGUGGAUUUCCGGCGAAGACCCACAACCCAUUGAACCCGUGAGUGAAACCCGUGACCCGUGUGUGCAACCCGUGACCGUGAGACCCAAGACCCAGAACCCCGGUUCUCUAUGGGUGUUUCCCGGCGACUGUCAGUGGUGUUUUCCGGCGGAUUUGUUGAGGAAAAUCCCCAAGGAUCAUGUUCGAUUGGAGACUUUAAUUGGUUCUCCAAUGUAGAGUCCGAGUGACUAGAGUCCAAGGAAUGUUCGAGUUGGAGUCCAAUGCAGCCAAGAUGAUGUUUCUUUGGCUCCAGGUACUUCGGUAUAGUCGAUGGGUCGGUAGCAGUGUGCUUGGGAUAUUAUGACUGAAGCUCGCCGUGACAGUUGUAAUUGUCGGACCACGGGUUGUCCACUAUUUUAUAGGUUUGGUAUGGCUUGUGACGUUUGUGUCACUUAUUAUUUGUUAAGCCAUUAUUGUUAUAGUGUUAAUAAGACUCAAACAGAUAGAUGUUAAAUGGCUCUUUGUUGUAAUUAAUUUGUGAUAGAUGUAUAAGUUGUAAUUUCCGCUAUUCA